GAUUCAGCACAAAUUAAUAGGAAAAACUGAAUGAGUGAAAGUGUUUUAGAACCUGAAGCUUAUUGUUUCACCAAUCAUGUGACUAAAGGCAGUUAUAAAAAUGGUGAACUAACAAGAGUCCCAGAAAAAGUGAAAGCUGAGAUGGAAUUACAUUUCUUUAUAAGGGACUUAACCAGCUUUUAAAAUACAGGAAAAAGUAACAAAAUCCUUUUGGUGGCAUUAUAUUACGUAACAUAAGGUUUAUGUAAAUCUGCUCUCUUGAGACUUUUUCAGUAUUUUGUGGGAUCAAUUAACAAAGUUUUCAAGUACCUCUGUGAGAGGACUCUGAGAGAGAACUUCUGAGAAUUAGGCCAGUCAAAUACAAAGGAGUAACUUGGAAGAUUAAAUUAAAUUGAAUAGAAAAAUCCCAAUUGGGACCUCAAAAUACCAAUUCUGUCUUUAUUUCCAGCCCUCAAAAAUCAAUCUCAUUCCCUCAC
rnacentral:lncRNA from 1 species